AGUGAUCCCCCUGCCUCCACCUCCCAAAGUGCUGGAAUUAUAGGUAUAAGCCACUGUGCCUGGCCCAAGGUCUCUACUUUUGACUCCAACCCUCAGUUGGUCCAUCUGGUUUUUAUGAUUAUCAGAAACUUUGCCAGGAGUAUUGUGUCUCUGAAUAUCAUUGUGGACAAUAAGAAUUCGCCCUUUCCUGAACACCUGAUUCAAACACUCUGUGUGCACAGUACUCUGGGAUUUCUCCCAAUAAUCGCACAAGGAAGAUAACAUCGGAACCUGUCAACAGAAGAGGAGACUGAGGUUCUGAGAGGCUUCAAGAAACAAAGCGACUGAAAGAAGAUCAUGAAGGUAGAAUUCAGCCUGAGUCCAGAGCCGGCCCCGACUGCUAGAACAGUGUUUUCCUCGAACUUAACAGGUCAGAGGAAUUACCUGGGGGCCUGGUGUGAAUUGUGGGUCAUGGACCCCAACCUGGUUAAUGAGUCUGACUUUGACACCGGACACCUGAGAAUCUGCAUUUUCGGACAAACAUCACUGGAGGUAAGAUUGAGACCCCCCCCACACACACACUCCAGUGUUUCUAUCCCCCUGUGGCUUGGUAAGAGCAUAUUUCAGAAGUUGGUAUUGAUGGGGUGGGGACAGGUUGGAGUGGGCAGGGCCUGCACAGCACACCCCCCCAGAGCCCCCAAGAGCCACCGUGUCCCCCACGGCCCUGGCUGACUGGGAACCACCCCUGCCUCUGCACAAAGAAUGGGAGGAAACAGCAGUUUGCCCUGUGCUGCUUCUCCCUGGCGGCCGGCCGGGCUGGCCCGAGGAGCAGCUGAAAAGGCCAGGGACAGGGGAGAGGGCAGUGGCGGCGCCCGGCUGCGGAGCUGGGGGGCCUGGGAAACAAAACACAGCCCCCCCUCCAGAGCUGGCUGGGGGCAGCGGCUGGAGCAAUCGCCCACAGGAAUCUGCAAGCUCAUCACAGUGCUGGGAAGCCUCGCUGGGGACGCACGCGGCACAGGACGCGUCCUGCUCUGCAGAGAUAAGAGAGGACUCCCGGGUUCUCACCACUGAGCACCCCCUGGGAAAAAGCGCUGCUGGCGGCUACUCAGAGGAACGGGACAGAGAUGCCCAAAACAAACAUGCUGGCAGGGAGGCCCCCCUCGAGUGCUAGCUGUGGGGCCCUGUGCCUCAAUUUCCCCACUUGCAAAAGGAAGCUGCAGAUGGAAACUCCCUGCCAUGUCAACGCCAACAUAACAUCUACGUCUCCUACCCGACCUGGGUCACCCUUCCCUCAUUGACCCCACGCCUGCCCUGGGAAAUAUUUAGAUGUUAAGAAAUAAAUGUCUUGUCAGAA